rnacentral:rRNA from 3 species
UUAAGCGACUAAGCGUACACGGUGGAUGCCCUGGCAGUCAGAGGCGAUGAAGGACGUGCUAAUCUGCGAUAAGCGUCGGUAAGGUGAUAUGAACCGUUAUAACCGGCGAUUUCCGAAUGGGGAAACCCAGUGUGAUUCGUCACACUAUCAUUAACUGAAUCCAUAGGUUAAUGAGGCGAACCGGGGGAACUGAAACAUCUAAGUACCCCGAGGAAAAGAAAUCAACCGAGAUUCCCCCAGUAGCGGCGAGCGAACGGGGAGCAGCCCAGAGCCUGAAUCAGUGUGUGUGUUAGUGGAAGCGUCUGGAAAGGCGUGCGAUACAGGGUGACAGCCCCGUACACAAAAAUGCACAUGCUGUGAGCUCGAUGAGUAGGGCGGGACACGUGGUAUCCUGUCUGAAUAUGGGGGGACCAUCCUCCAAGGCUAAAUACUCCUGACUGACCGAUAGUGAACCAGUACCGUGAGGGAAAGGCGAAAAGAACCCCGGCGAGGGGAGUGAAAAAGAACCUGAAACCGUGUACGUACAAGCAGUGGGAGCACAGAGCAAUCUGUGUGACUGCGUACCUUUUGUAUAAUGGGUCAGCGACUUAUAUUCUGUAGCAAGGUUAACCGAAUAGGGGAGCCGAAGGGAAACCGAGUCUUAACUGGGCGUUAAGUUGCAGGGUAUAGACCCGAAACCCGGUGAUCUAGCCAUGGGCAGGUUGAAGGUUGGGUAACACUAACUGGAGGACCGAACCGACUAAUGUUGAAAAAUUAGCGGAUGACUUGUGGCUGGGGGUGAAAGGCCAAUCAAACCGGGAGAUAGCUGGUUCUCCCCGAAAGCUAUUUAGGUAGCGCCUCGUGAAUUCAUCUCCGGGGGUAGAGCACUGUUUCGGCAAGGGGGUCAUCCCGACUUACCAACCCGAUGCAAACUGCGAAUACCGGAGAAUGUUAUCACGGGAGACACACGGCGGGUGCUAACGUCCGUCGUGAAGAGGGAAACAACCCAGACCGCCAGCUAAGGUCCCAAAGUCAUGGUUAAGUGGGAAACGAUGUGGGAAGGCCCAGACAGCCAGGAUGUUGGCUUAGAAGCAGCCAUCAUUUAAAGAAAGCGUAAUAGCUCACUGGUCGAGUCGGCCUGCGCGGAAGAUGUAACGGGGCUAAACCAUGCACCGAAGCUGCGGCAGCGACGCUUAUGCGUUGUUGGGUAGGGGAGCGUUCUGUAAGCCUGCGAAGGUGUGCUGUGAGGCAUGCUGGAGGUAUCAGAAGUGCGAAUGCUGACAUAAGUAACGAUAAAGCGGGUGAAAAGCCCGCUCGCCGGAAGACCAAGGGUUCCUGUCCAACGUUAAUCGGGGCAGGGUGAGUCGACCCCUAAGGCGAGGCCGAAAGGCGUAGUCGAUGGGAAACAGGUUAAUAUUCCUGUACUUGGUGUUACUGCGAAGGGGGGACGGAGAAGGCUAUGUUGGCCGGGCGACGGUUGUCCCGGUUUAAGCGUGUAGGCUGGUUUUCCAGGCAAAUCCGGAAAAUCAAGGCUGAGGCGUGAUGACGAGGCACUACGGUGCUGAAGCAACAAAUGCCCUGCUUCCAGGAAAAGCCUCUAAGCAUCAGGUAACAUCAAAUCGUACCCCAAACCGACACAGGUGGUCAGGUAGAGAAUACCAAGGCGCUUGAGAGAACUCGGGUGAAGGAACUAGGCAAAAUGGUGCCGUAACUUCGGGAGAAGGCACGCUGAUAUGUAGGUGAAGUCCCUCGCGGAUGGAGCUGAAAUCAGUCGAAGAUACCAGCUGGCUGCAACUGUUUAUUAAAAACACAGCACUGUGCAAACACGAAAGUGGACGUAUACGGUGUGACGCCUGCCCGGUGCCGGAAGGUUAAUUGAUGGGGUUAGCGCAAGCGAAGCUCUUGAUCGAAGCCCCGGUAAACGGCGGCCGUAACUAUAACGGUCCUAAGGUAGCGAAAUUCCUUGUCGGGUAAGUUCCGACCUGCACGAAUGGCGUAAUGAUGGCCAGGCUGUCUCCACCCGAGACUCAGUGAAAUUGAACUCGCUGUGAAGAUGCAGUGUACCCGCGGCAAGACGGAAAGACCCCGUGAACCUUUACUAUAGCUUGACACUGAACAUUGAGCCUUGAUGUGUAGGAUAGGUGGGAGGCUUUGAAGUGUGGACGCCAGUCUGCAUGGAGCCGACCUUGAAAUACCACCCUUUAAUGUUUGAUGUUCUAACGUUGACCCGUGAUCCGGGUUGCGGACAGUGUCUGGUGGGUAGUUUGACUGGGGCGGUCUCCUCCUAAAGAGUAACGGAGGAGCACGAAGGUUGGCUAAUCCUGGUCGGACAUCAGGAGGUUAGUGCAAUGGCAUAAGCCAGCUUGACUGCGAGCGUGACGGCGCGAGCAGGUGCGAAAGCAGGUCAUAGUGAUCCGGUGGUUCUGAAUGGAAGGGCCAUCGCUCAACGGAUAAAAGGUACUCCGGGGAUAACAGGCUGAUACCGCCCAAGAGUUCAUAUCGACGGCGGUGUUUGGCACCUCGAUGUCGGCUCAUCACAUCCUGGGGCUGAAGUAGGUCCCAAGGGUAUGGCUGUUCGCCAUUUAAAGUGGUACGCGAGCUGGGUUUAGAACGUCGUGAGACAGUUCGGUCCCUAUCUGCCGUGGGCGCUGGAGAACUGAGGGGGGCUGCUCCUAGUACGAGAGGACCGGAGUGGACGCAUCACUGGUGUUCGGGUUGUCAUGCCAAUGGCACUGCCCGGUAGCUAAAUGCGGAAGAGAUAAGUGCUGAAAGCAUCUAAGCACGAAACUUGCCCCGAGAUGAGUUCUCCCUGACUCCUUGAGAGUCCUGAAGGAACGUUGAAGACGACGACGUUGAUAGGCCGGGUGUGUAAGCGCAGCGAUGCGUUGAGCUAACCGGUACUAAUGAACCGUGAGGCUUAACCUU